GACGAACGCUGGCGGCGUGCCUAAUGCAUACAAGUCGCACGGAGGCUUCGGCCUCAGUGGCGCACGGCUGAGGGACACGUGGGAAUGUGCCCUUCGGUGGGGGAUAACGGCGAGAAAUCGCCGCUAAUCCCGCAUACGCUCGCAAGAGCAAAGGCGCAAGUUGCCGAAGGAGCAGCCCGCGGCCCAUCAGGUCGUUGGUGGGGUAAUGGCCCACCAAGCCUUUGACGGGUAGCUGGUCUGAGAGGACAGACAGCCAGACUGGGACUGAGACACGGCCCAGACUCCUACGGGAGGCAGCAGCAAGGAAUUUUCGUCAAUGGGCGCAAGCCUGAACGAGCAACGCCGCGUGCAGGAUGACGGCCUUCGGGUUGUAAACUGCUUUUGGGGGGGACGAUGAUGACGGUACCCUCCGAACAAGCCCCGGCUAACUCUGUGCCAGCCGCCGCGGUAACAC
rnacentral:rRNA from 1 species